AUUGAACGCUGGCGGCAUGCUUUACACAUGCAAGUCGAACGGUAACAGGCCGCAAGGUGCUGACGAGUGGCGAACGGGUGAGUAAUGCAUCGGAACGUGCCCAGUCGUGGGGGAUAACUACUCGAAAGAGUAGCUAAUACCGCAUACGAUCUAUGGAUGAAAGCGGGGGACCGUAAGGCCUCGCGCGAUUGGAGCGGCCGAUGUCAGAUUAGGUAGUUGGUGGGGUAAAGGCUCCCCAAGCCAACGAUCUGUAGCUGUUCUGAGAGGAGGACCAGCCACACUGGAACUGAGACACGGCCCAGACUCCUACGGGAGGCAGCAGGGGGGAAUUUUGGACAAGGGGCGAAAGCCUGACCCAGCAAUGCCGCGGGUGGGAAGAAGGUCUUCGGGUUGUAAAGUUUUUUUGUGGGGAAGGAAGGGCCUUUGGUUAAUACCGGGGGUUAUUGACGUUACCAAAAGAAUAAGCACCGGCUAACUACGUG
rnacentral:rRNA from 1 species